GUUGCUAAAAUAGGAUAAAUUCGUAAUAUCAGUUGACUUUGAAAGUAUAAGCUUAAAAAAUGAAAGUUUUUUAAUAUAUAAUUUUAUUUUAUUGAUCUAAAUAACGUUUUAAUUAUUUUGUGUAGGAAUAAAAACAAAUUCGUGCAGAUUUAAAUUUUUUUUAAUUUUAUUUAUAAUUUCCACUAAAUCAAGAUCGCAGGCGAUAGAUCGAUAACCCUAUUGGUCGAUAUUAAAAUCAAUUGUCAUUUGAAUUUCCUUUGUUCCUUAGUGGGUGCUUUGUGUAGUUAGGUAGUGGUUGUGCAAAUAUGGCUGUACUUGAUUAAUUAAUUAUUGUUAUUACUUGUUUAUUAGUGUUAAAGUGUGUGGUUUGGUUAAACAACAAUGAAUUAUCUUUGCUCGCGUAAUAAGUGAUCGUAUCGAUCGUAUAAUUAAUUUUUUAAUUCGAACUUAAACGAAACGAAAAGUGUAUAACGCGCGAUUCGAUAAAAUUUGCGGUAUGUCGAAAGUGUGUCGCGAAUCGGUUUCAAAGUGAUAGUGAUGGAAAAUGGAAAUGGAAAGUCUCCUCUGCGCAUGAUAAUAUAUGGCGGAGAGAUUACCACAAG